GUGCCAGCAGCCGCGGUAAGACGUAGGGCGCGAGCGUUGUCCGGAUUUAUUGGGCGUAAAGAGCUCGUAGGCGGCUCAUUGCGUCAACCGUGAAAUCCUGCUGCUCAACGGCAGGUCUGCGGUUGAUACGGGUGGGCUGGAGUUCGGUAGGGGAGACUGGAAUUCCUGGUGUAGCGGUGAAAUGCGCAGAUAUCAGGAGGAACACCGGUGGCGAAGGCGGGUCUCUGGGCCGAUACUGACGCUGAGGAGCGAAAGCGUGGGGAGCGAACAGGAUUAGAUACCCCCGUAGUCC
rnacentral:rRNA from 1 species